UGUUCUUUUGAGUUAUAUAAUGAGCAUUAGAAUUAGCUAUGUACAGUGUAUUUACGGUUGCCAGCUUACCACAGCAACCAUAUUUUACCACAAUGAAACUGACAAUCUUAUUAAUGCUUUCAACCUUGUUCAUUGGAAAUCAUGAAGCAUCUCAUGUUACCCUCUCAUGUGAAGAUAACUGCAUUGAAAUGCAAUUCUGUACAGACAUUAGAAUGGUUGAGAUUGAUGAAGAGUAUUAUUACAAAGACAUUUUUACUCCAGGACAAAACUGUAUUCAUUAUUAUACAGCACCUCUUUCUUACCAGUGCUAUAAUAGCACAAUAAGGUGUGCUUGAAUGUGUCUAGUUACCUGGCACAAUUUGGAAAUCAAAGUACACUUGUUCUAUGUUUAAACAGUUCUAGCUCUAUGUGUAGCUGUUACUUAAAAUUUAACAUAACAAUAACUGAUUCCACAUGCAAUACUAUCGAUCCAUCAACGUCAGUUUCGAGCCCUUCCGAAUCUCUAGAAAUAUCUCCUUCAAGUACCAGUUCUCCUGAUACUAAAACCCCAACUUUUUCUAUCCUACCUUCUACUACUUCUACUCCACCACCUACUACUGAUGGACCUGAUACACCUUCUCCUGGUGGAGCUUCUACUCUUAAAGCAACAGGAGGGAUGUUAAUGCUGCUACUGCUAUUGUCCUUGUUCUUAUGAACUGUCAAUAGCAUCAUUGCCUUUUGCCCUAUGGACUUUGUGUCCAGUUUUGCCUCAAAAAAAGAAGUUGUACUGCAAUUAGUGUCUACUGAUUGGUGCUGCCAUUGACAAUCUAUAGCUAAGUAAUAACUGAUAUGUAGUAUCAUUGAUUGAUUAAUAUUGAUAUUUUUGUUCUGAUUUUAUUGUUUUUAUAUAUUCUUAUUACUAUUUUUCUUAGUUUUUGUUCUUAUUAACUGUCAGUGAAAUAAUGCACCAUCAUUGUUAUUUUUAUUUAA
rnacentral:misc_RNA from 1 species